ensembl:lncRNA
CAAGCACAUAGGCACGCUGGAAGCCUGGCUGAGAGCUCCUUGAGGGCAGGGACCUUGUCUCAUUCAACAGUGUAGCCCUAGGCACAUCUGCUGCAGUCAGGCACCUGCGAUGACCACACUCUGAGCAGCCUCAUCUGCCACUAUGGGCUCCUCCCUUCAGAGCAGGCCUGCUUUCAGCAGAAGGUCAGGUCGGGCGCACUCCUGGAAGCAGCCCCAGCCAAAGACGGACGAUGGACGGGAGUGGGAGGAUGUAGUCCAGCUUCCUGCCCCUCCAGCAUGGCUUGACGUGAGCCCGAAGCCCCAGCGGCACAUGGCAGGAACCUGCUCAGCAGUCUGAUUCUGGUGAAUCCAACCUGAGGCAAGCGGAUUCCUGGAAGGUCUGCCUAGGGCGCCUCCAUGUCCCCCCUCUCCCAGCCCAGCCAAGCCUGUCCACC